GGCAGCAAGGAGCGGGGGAUGCGCCUGUGGAGGGGAUAGGGGAGACUUCACUGGGAUGGGAGGUUGGGGGAGAUUUGGGCUUCUCAGCUUCAUGGAGGGAUUUGGGAGGUUUCAUUGGAGGUGGGAGGUUGGAGAAGGUUUAAGGGGUUGUUAGCAUGGAGAUAUGGAAGGGGGGGUUUUGUGUUCUCAGCUUCAUGAAGGGAUUUGUGGGGUUUCAUUGGAGAUGGGAGAUUGGAGAGGGUUUAAGGGGUUUGUUAAGAUGGAGGUAUGGGAGGGGGGGUUUGGGAUUCUCAAAUUCGUGGAGGGUUUUGGGGGAUUUCAUUGGAUUUGGGAGGUUGGAAAGGGUUUAAGGGGUUUGUUAGGGUGGCUGUAUGGAAGAUAGGGUUUGGGGCUUUCAACUUCAUGGGGGGAUUUGGGGGUUUCAUUGGAGUUGGAAAGUUGGAGAGAAUUUAGGGGUUUCAUUGGAACUGGGAGGUUGGAGAGGGCUUGGGGUUCUUUGGGAUAGGGGUAUGGUGGAUUUGGGGUUCUCAGCUGCAUGGAGGGAUUUCAGAUUUUUGUUGGUGUUGGAAGUUUAGAGAAGGUUUAGGGGUUUUAUUGGUAUUUGGGGUUCUCAACUGCAUGGAGGGAUUCGGGGGUUUUGUUUGAGUUGGGAGGUUGGAAAGGGGUUUAGGGGUUUAGUUAGAGAGGGGCUUUAGGGGGAUUUGGGUGUUUCUUUGGAGUUAGGAGUUGGAGAGGGUUUAGGGGUUUUGCUUGGAUUGGGAUUUGGGGUUGUCAACUGAAUGGAGAAGGAGAAUUUCACUGGGACAGGGAUGUGGGGUUGGGAUUUGGGGUUCUCAACUUCAUGGGGGUGUUCAGGGGUUUUGUUAGAGUUGGAGGGUUGGGGAGGAUUUUGGGGUUUCAUUAAGAUGGGGAUUUGUGGAAAUCUGGGAGGAGAUUUGGGUUUCUCAAUUACAUGGGGAGAUUUGGGGGUUACAUUCAAUUUAGGAGUGGAUUUGGGAUUUCCAUUGGGAUGGGGGCUUGGGGGGUGGUGGGAUUCCUGCCUGCAUGGAGGCAGUUUGGAAUAUUCAUCAGGAUGAAGAUUUUGGAAAGAUUUGGGUUUUGUGUUAGGGAGAGCCAUUUGAGGGGAGAUUUGUCAUUCCCAUCUGUGUGGGGAAUUUGGAUUUUCAUUGGAUUUGGGGUGUUGGGGAGGCUUUGGGAUUUUUAUUGGAAUGAAAGGAGUGAGGAUGAUUUAGUAUUUCAACCUACAUAGGAAUGAUUUGGGGGGUUUCACUGAAGCCAAGAGUGGACUUGGGGAUUUUAUUAUGGUGAAAACUUGUGGGAGAUUGGGAGUGAUGGUGGUUUGUGAAUUGAUUUUGGAUUCCACCCACAUGAACAAGGAUUUAGGAUUUUUGUUUGGAUGCUGACCUGGGGAUCUCUUUGGGAUUCCUACCUGCAUGGCAAAAAUGUGUGGGUUUUAUCAGGAUGAGCAUAUGGGGGUGGAUUUGGGAUUUUCAUCUGGAUGAGGAUUUGGGGUUUGAUUUCAGAUUCACAUCCAGGUGUGGGUUACUUGAGGAUUUUCAUCCAUACUGGGUCAUUUUCACAGGAUGUUUCCUGGCAAGGAGUGCUCACUGCAGCUGGGAGGAGACUGAAAAUAAACUCAGGGCUUUGCACUGAAUUCUCCUCUUGGCUCUGCUGGAUCCAGCUAAACCAGGAACCUUCCCAGCCUGGACCCAGAGGUGGCAAAGACAACCUUCACUCCAAAAAGGACUUUUCAAAUGUUGUUCUAUUGAUCUCUUCAGUUAAAGGUGGACAUUAUUCUUGUUGCAAGGUCACCUUCAGAAGAUGAGGACACGCUUGGCUCAGCCCUCCCUGCUUUGCAUUUUAUCCCCAGAAAAGGUUUCUUGUCCUGAUUUAACUUCUGGGUCAGUUAAUAAAAUUUUUU